AGUAGCCUCAACAGCACUCUGUAGGGUAGCACCGUGGUGUAGCCGGAGGACAGCUAGCUUCUGUCCUGCUCUGGGUACAUUGACUUCAAUACCUAGGAGGCUCAUGGUUCUCACCCCCUUCCAUACUUACACAGUAAUAUGACAACUUCCAGAGGAUGUCAUCCAACCUAUUCAGAGCUCUUGCAGCAUGAACUGACAUGUUGUCCAACCAAUCAAAAGGUUCAGAUAAUUAAUGUAGUACUGUAAGCAUAAACUACAGCUAGUUAGCACUGCAGUGCAUAAAUUGUAAGUAGUUGCCAGAGGGAAAGACAAUAGCUUUGAAUAAUGUGUUUCCUAAAUUAAGGAUAGGCAGCAGAGAGAAAGCUAGCUAGCUAUUGUCAUUGUAUUUUUUUUUCACUUAGCUAAUGCAGCGAGCUAAUUUAGCCUACUCAAACAGAGAGGAAUGCUUAUGUUAGCUAGCUGGCUAAGGCUAUCCAAAACUGGAACUCUUCCAAGUCAAGCGCUGUGCUGCCACCUAGUGGAGCAGACCUGAGACAACUCAAAAAGGUGAGCUUGGAAGAGAGGGAGGAGCAGAGGAAUGGAGGUUAGACAUUUACAUUUCAGUCAUUUAACAGAUGCUCUUAAAUUGAUUUACAGGAGCAAAUUAGGUUUAAGUGCCUUGCUCAAGGGCGCAGACAGAUUUUUCACGUAGUCGGCUUGCGGAUUACUGGCCGAAUGCUCUUAACCGCUAGGCUACAUGACGCCUUUAGCUAUUGACUCAAGUAGCAUUGAUUAGAUAACAGGAGUUAAAUGAUUAAAAGGCAUACAUAAAUAAUACCAAAUGAAGCACAUUUUACACCAUGAUAACUGUCUCAUGUGUUUUAUAUGGAAGCUGUGACAAAUGUCCCACAUUACCAACAUGUCAGAAAGAGGGGAAGCUUUGUAUCCACCAACAUUUUUCAAACGGUUUAAAAAGGAAAUGAAAACCCUUUCUUUUAACAGACUUUAAAACUUAGCAUGGUAAUUAAAAUAAUUUAAAAAGCAUCUCGCCAAUAUUGGCCAUGAAUGUUGUGUUGUUCGACAAAUAAAACAAAAUGUGUUCAGGCUUGCAAUGGCAUAGAAACGUAAAGUCAUGGUCUUCUGAUGCCACUGGCAUCGACUUGACACAGCAGUCAUGAAAAUGACUUUUCACAACAACAAAAAAUCCCUUUACUGCCAGUCUUAACUGAUUGUAACCCUUAAAUAAUAAUCUCUAAUGGAGCGAUGAUAAGGCUUAAACACUGUGCUUGAAUCCAAUAAGUAACUCCAAUGUAAUGCCAAAACAGCAGUACUAAAUAAUGAACAGAAUAUUAUUUCUCAGAUGGUUCCUGAUUGCACUUAGGUCCGU